rnacentral:rRNA from 1 species
GGCGAUUGGGACGAAGUCGUAACAAGGUACCCGUACCGGAAGGUGCGGGUGGAUCACCUCCUUU